rnacentral:rRNA from 1 species
GAUGAACGCUGGCGGCGUGCCUAAUACAUGCAAGUCGAGCGAACAGAUGAGGAGCUUGCUCCUCUGACGUUAGCGGCGGACGGGUGAGUAACACGUGGAUAACCUACCUAUAAGACUGGGAUAACUUCGGGAAACCGGAGCUAAUACCGGAUAAUAUAUUGAACCGCAUGGUUCAAUAGUGAAAGACGGUUUUGCUGUCACUUAUAGAUGGAUCCGCGCCGCAUUAGCUAGUUGGUAAGGUAACGGCUUACCAAGGCAACGAUGCGUAGCCGACCUGAGAGGGUGAUCGGCCACACUGGAACUGAGACCCGGUCCAGACUCCUACGGGAGGCAGCAGUAGGGAAUCUUCCGCAAUGGGCGAAAGCCUGACGGAGCAACGCCGCGUGAGUGAUGAAGGUCUUCGGCUCGUAAAACUCUGUUAUUAGGGAAGAACAAAUGUGUAAGUAACUAUGCACGUCUUGACGGUACCUAAUCAGAAAGCCACGGCUAACUACGU